rnacentral:rRNA from 1 species
GAUGAACGCUGGCGGCGUGCCUAAUACAUGCAAGUCGAGCGAACGGAUGAGAAGCUUGCUUCUCUGAUGUUAGCGGCGGACGGGUGAGUAACACGUGGAUAACCUACCUAUAAGACUGGGAUAACUUCGGGAAACCGGCGCUAAUACCGGAUAAUCUUUUGCACCGCAUGGUUCAAAAGUGAAAGUCGGUCUUGCUGUAACUUAUAGAUGGAUCCGCGCUGCAUUAGCUAGUUGGUAAGGUAACGGCUUACCAAGGCAACGAUGCAUAGCCGACCUGAGAGGGUGAUCGGCCACACUGGAACUGAGACACGGUCCAGACUCCUACGGGAGGCAGCAGUAGGGAAUCUUCCGCAAUGGGCGAGAGCCUGACGGAGCAACGCGGCGUGAGAGAUGAAGGUCUUCGGAUCGUAAAACUCUGUUAUUAGGGAAGAACAUAUGUGUAAGUAACUGUGCACAUCUUGACGGUACCUAAUCAGAAAGCAACGGCUAACUACGUG